UAUAGUAAAAUUGGAAUAAAAAAAAAAUUGGAAUGAUACAGAGAAAAUUAGCAUGGCCCCUGUGCAAGCAGGACACUCAAAUUUGUGAAGCAUUCCAUAUUUUU
ensembl:snRNA U6 U6 spliceosomal RNA